GAAUUCUCGAUCACCGUAUCACGUGUGGCCAAAGUCAAAUCCAUUAUUGAACAUUGGCACUCCGCUGAUUUGGUGAUCGACUUUUC
rnacentral:pre_miRNA from 18 species